CCUACGGGAGGCAGCAGUGGGGAAUAUUGGGCAAUGGGCGCAAGCCUGACCCAGCAAUGCCGCGUGAAGGAAGAAGGCUUUCGGGUUGUAAACUUCUUUGAUAGGGGAAGAGAAGAAGACGGUACCCUGAAAACAAGCCACGGCUAACUACGUGCCAGCAGCCGCGGUAAUACGUAGGUGGCACGCGUUGUCCGGAUUUACUGGGGGUAAAGGGCGGGUAGCGGGGAAGGGAAGGCCGAUGUGAAAUCUGGAGGCUUAACCUCCAAAUUGCAUUUGAAACUGAUUUUCUUGAGUACUGGAGAGGCAGACGGAAUGCCUUGUGUAGCGGUGAAAUGCGUAGAUAUAAGGAGGAACACCAGUGGCGAAGGCGGUCUGCUGGACAGCAACUGACGGUGAGGCGCGAAAGCGUGGGUAGCAAACAGGAUUAGAUACCCGGGUAGUC
rnacentral:rRNA from 1 species